rnacentral:tRNA from 1 species
ACUGAUGUAACUCAGUGGUAGAGUAUUUGCCUAGCAUGCACAGGUCCUGGGUUUGAUCCCCAGCUUCACAA